rnacentral:rRNA from 1 species
UACGAAGGGGGCUAGCGUUGCUCGGAAUCACUGGGCGUAAAGCGCACGUAGGCGGAUUGCUAAGUCAGGGGUGAAAUCCUGGAGCUCAACUCCAGAACUGCCCUUGAUACUGGCGGUCUCGAGUCCGGGAGAGGUGAGUGGAGCUGCGAGUGUAGAGGUGAAAUUCGUAGAUAUUCGCAAGAACACCAGUGGCGAAGGCGGCUCACUGGCCCGGUACUGACGCUGAGGUGCGAAAGCGUGGGGAGCAAACAGGG